rnacentral:tRNA from 1 species
GGAGAAAUGGCUUAGCAGGUAAGAGCACUGCUGCUCUUUACAGAGGACCUGGGUUCGAUUCCCAGUACCUGCA